rnacentral:rRNA from 1 species
UGGGGAAUCAUAGUCAAUGGGCGAAAGCCUGAACCAGCCAUCCCGCGUGCAGGAAGACGGCCCUAUGGGUUGUAAACUGCUUUUCCAGGGGGAGAAACUUGCGCACGUGUUGCGCAAUUGACGGUACCCUGGGAAUAAGCAUCGGCUAACUCCGUGCCAGCAGCCGCGGUAAUACGGAGGAUGCGAGCGUUAUCCGGAUUCAUUGGGUUUAAAGGGUGCGUAGGCGGACUAUUAAGACAGUGGUGAAAUCCUGCAGCUUAACUGCAGAACUGCCAUUGAUACUGAUAGCCUUGAGUUUGGUUAAGGUAGGCGGAAUGUGUAAUGUAGCGGUGAAAUGCUUAGAUAUUACACAGAACACCAAUUGCGUAGGCAGCUUACUGAGCCGACACUGACGCUGAGGCACGAAAGCGUGGGGAUCGAACA